rnacentral:rRNA from 1 species
UACGUAGGGGGCAAGCGUUGGUCCGGAUUUAUUGGGCGUAAAGAGCGUGUAGGCGGCCAGACAAGUCUGCUGUGAAAACUCGAGGCUCAAACCUCGAGCUGUCGGUGGAAACUGUCUGGCUAGAGUCCGGGAAGAGGAGAGUGGAAUUCCUGGUGUAGCGGUGAAAUGCGGCAGAUAUCAGGAAGAACACCCGUGGCUAAGGCGGCUCUCUAGUACGGUACUGACGCUGAGACGCGAAAGCGUGGGGAGCGAACAGG